rnacentral:lncRNA from 1 species
UAAUAUCAUACUUAUCCUUUUCAUUAUUGCUUCUUCCGCCCUAGUUGUUUUAUUUGCCUCCGUUCUCCUUCUGCCGUUCGUCUUUUCUCCAGAUCUGUUCUCCAUGGUCGCUCAACGUCGCGCGUGGAUGAUACAAUCAUGUAGGUCAGGCGACGAUCUACGCGACGAUGUACUUAUCAAGGGCGGAGGCGUUCUUAGCCGUCGUUCCGGCUUAAUAUUCACAUGUGGCUGGCGUAGCAUAGAUAUGUCCACAGGUUUCGAUCUAAUCUUCUUGUUCUUGAUUAUAUCUACACUUGUUGGUUACAUGACUUCUGUUUCUGUCGUUCCAGACGAUUUGUGGUUACAUGGCGUGUUAUUGCCCUGCUGGUGCGAUCGGAAAGGCGACGAUUUUUGAUUACAGGUCCUGCUAUCGACCAGCUGCUGCGAUCGGAAAGGUGUUUUUUGUGUAUUUAUGCGAUUCUUAUAGUUCGUGUAUUGAAGAGCCGUUGUAAUUUUUGUUGUGUGUAUGAUAUCAUAGAUCUAGCCAUAUCUUCGGAUCUGAAGAUGAGCUAGCCCUCUAGUCAAAGAUCAGGUAUGUCGAGGCGUUCUCUGCCGCUGGAGCCAAGUAUGAUGCGUAGUGACGGGAGCUGGAUAUCGUCGAUUGUGGGUGUAUAAGAUAUGAGGGGGAUGAUGGCGCUGUGUUCGGUGGCCUGGUGUCCUUGUUAGUAUCUUUGUCAUCCGACCUUUGCCAUAUAGGGUGCGCUCGUAUGGCAGGUCACCAAUGAAUAAAAAAACAACCGUUUGUGUUUCAGAGGGAAGAUCGCACGGGGGAUUUGCCCGGGUUCUUUCCUCUGCUGUGUCUCGUGUUCCUUCUCUUCAUUACGCCUAUGCUCCAAACCCAAUCGAUUGGAGGAUGAUACUUCCUCCUACCCAGCUCUAAUUGCCAGGCUUUCAAGGCGCAUGACAAUAAAGGUAACAUCUCAUCCGUUUUAAUACUUCUGUUGGAGACUCUGAGGGACCAGCCAUCUUCCAUUCUGCCAGGUAACCUCGUUAUUUGUCAACUUUGCGCUAUCAGUAUCCAUAUUCCCGAUUCUGUCGUGUAUUUCUCAACCCAAUUACUUCAAAAUGAACACCAAGAAUGUCUUUUCCCUCGGCUGUUAUGACUAACCUGUCGAUCAAGAGCAUCAUAUCCAUAUAUGAAAUCUACCUUUUCUAUUGCGUCUAAUAAGGGCUAAAUGUUCGUAUAUUAUAUUGAACAUUGGAUUAUUUAAUUUCCUUCUGUAUUAUAUAUUGUAUACUUUUUGUAGUUGGUUCGUAGUGUGUAUAUGGUUAGUAGCUUGAUCUCACUUUCUUUGUUUCCAGUCUAUCAGCUCAGUUGCUAGUUAUUAUUGGGGUGAUUUGUUCGUGUUUUUGUGUUGGUACUAAUAUGUCCGGUUCUGUAAUGUUCAUAAUUGUACCUGUGGAAUGAUAUGCAUGGCUUGUGGCGUUUGCUGUAAUGUCGUCGUGUAUUCUGCUUACAAGUUCAGAUUGUUUGCUGUAAUAUUGCGAGUGUAUUCUGCAUCCAAGUUCAGAGAUUGGCGUUGAUGCGCUGGACGACUGUGAUCUUCAAGCUCGGUUAUCUCAUGACAUGGACCAGAGGGAGAUUCUACAAUUUAUUAUUUCUGAUCGUAGUGUUCGGUUUUUGUUUGAAUUAUGAAGCACAGUUGUUUAUUUACGAUUACUCGUGUUUGUGCAUAUACGUUGUGACUGUUUAAAAGCUCCGAUAAUGUGUUUUUUUUUUCUAAAUGGUCAAAUGAUUUCAUGUAUUCGAUCACUGUUUGGAGUGCUUGUUAACUAUGCUAAUGUAAUAGUUAAAUUUUAUUUUUGUUAAAGGGAUAUCUUCGCAAACUAUCAGUUUUUGUGUGGAAUGCUUAUAU